rnacentral:lncRNA from 1 species
UAAACCUAUUUCAACAUUAUGCCAUGCCGUGUCGUGUGUAGGUGAGAGUUGAUAAUCCUAUAGAUUUUUAGCAUUGAGAUGUUACAAAACUCAUAAGUUAUCACUUUCCUGCUUUAUAAAAGGUAUCGCAACGGCAAUUGAAGCUCAGAUUUUAUUUCCUAUAGUCGAAGAUGAGAGUCGUAUUGCUGCUUCUUUUUUUCGUGGCGUUCGUAUAUGGAAAAGCUCUAAAUGAGUACCUUCCACCACCCACGCCCACUAAGCCAAAUGGUUUUGGUGGUUUUCCGGAAGUGGAGCAGACAUCUUACCCAGGAAUUCCUUGUGCCAGUUGCAGAAUUCCCUAAUGCAAAAAUUCCAAAAUUUCAUAAUUUUAAAAAUAUAUGUUUAGAUGCUCAGAUAUAAUUUAUAAGCAAAUAAUAAUACAAUUUGGAGAUUAAUGUAAUGGGACUUUGAUUUAAUUUAGAAAAUACGAUUAUCUGAUUUGAACGUUUACAAAAGUAUUUGAAAAACAGAUCCGUACCGAUCUGGUACCAUUGCAGAUGUGUUAAAAAUGUAUUCAAGUUAUUGGGAAUAUGAGUUCUGUUGAAAAAAUAAACGCAUUUGUAAAGAGACGUGGGCCUGAUAAGGGCAUCUAACAAAAAGUUAUACAUAAAAGCGAGUCCAAUAAACUAGAUUAUUUAAAAUU